rnacentral:rRNA from 1 species
CUACAGAGGUCUCGAGCGUUGUUCGGAUUCAUUGGGCGUAAAGGGUGCGUAGGUGGCAGGGUAAGUCGGAUGUGAAAUCCCGGGGCUCAACCUCGGAACUGCAUUCGAUACUGCUUGCUUGAGUACUGGAGAGGAGAUUGGAAUUACGGUGUAGCAGUGAAAUGGCGUAGAUAAUCGGUAAGGAAGACCAGUGGCGGAAAGGC